rnacentral:tRNA from 1 species
GUUUAAGUCCUCUUUUUGCCA